rnacentral:lncRNA from 1 species
GUGACUAUGGUAUCAAAAGCUUUCUGAAAAUCAAAAAAUAAGAUAACAGUGAAGUUAUCCAAUAGAUCACAAUACUCAACCAAGUCUAGUAACACCAGCCUCAGAUUUUUAGAUAUAUGACUCCCUUUCAUAAAUCCAUUACGCCAUUUCACCACGAUUAUUAACGAGAGAAUCAGAACAUCAGCCCGCGUCCCAGAAAUAGAAUAGUUCUAACAGAAUGCAAUUUAAAGGGUAUUUCAAAACAUGCACAUUCUGUGCUGAGAAUGUUUGUGUCCCUUAGCAACCAAACCAUCCUUGGAUCCUUGAUAGGUGCAAUCUCACUGCAGAAACAGAGAGCUGCAGUCUAGAGCCAGCUGGAACCUGUACAGAAGCUCCAUCCAAUGACACUUCAUAAGAGUGGGUAUGUGUGGUACAUCGGCUACUUCUCGGCCCUUACGGUGUGUGUGUUGGUGCUGACUGUGUCAUGCGUGUUAGUGCACCGCUUCAGAGACAAGCAGAGAGAACAACACACACACUCCUGGGUGGCUGCCGUCGAACAGGGCGCCGUUACCCAGCAUCCUCUACUGCACUGGAUAGAUGUCAACCGUCACUUGUCUCUGUCUGUCAUUGUCAAGGGAGAUGCCAGAGGGAAACAGGAGGAAGAAAGAGAAGAGGGGGAAGAGGGAAAGAAAGAGGAAGGUAGCGAUAAAGACAGAGGACAAAGAAGAGUAAAAAGAGAGAGGAGUGAGGAGGAGGUGGAGGUGGAGGAGGAGAAAGACGUGAGUGAGAUGGAGAAAGGUAGCAAUAGAGACAAAGGAGAGGGAAGAAUGGACAGAGAGAGGGAAGAGGACGGUGGUGUUGAGGUGAUUGGUAGAACAAAGCAAAACAACGGAGGAGAAGAAAGUGAUGGAGAGAGAAGAGAGGGAUGUUAGGGAAGAGGAAGAAGAGAAACAGGAGGAGGUGACUAAGUCAUCA